rnacentral:lncRNA from 1 species
ACAACCCAAACCCUCAUUCUAAGAGAUGGGGUCUCACACACAAAACCUCUCUUUUCUUAUCCUCCUUCUCCUAGGCUUCCUUGCUGUCUCAUUCGCUUGCGAAUGUAGCCCUCCUAAACCAUCACCGAGUCCUCACAAACCGCCUAAACAUCCCGUCAAACCGCCUAAACCACCAGCAGCCAAACCACCAAAACCACCGGCAGUAAAACCUCCUAAACCCCCCACCAAACCUCCCACCCUUAAACCACACCCCCACCCUAAACCUCCCACUAAACCCCCCACCGUUAGACCACACCCACACCCUAAGCCCCCUACCAAACCUCAUCCCAUCCCAAAACCGCCCACCGUUAAACCACCACCCUCCACCCCCAAACCGCCCACAAAACCACCCACCGUUAAACCGCCUCCAUCCACCCCUAAGCCGCCCACCAAACCACCCACCGUCAAACCACCACCCUCCACCCCAAAACCGCCCACCAAGCCACCCACCGUCAAACCACCUCCGUCCACCCCUAAACCACCUACCCACAAGCCACCAAUAGUGUGCCCACCGCCAACACCAACACCAACCCCACCUGUUGUAACGCCACCAACACCACCAACACCAACUCCACCAGUCGUUACGCCACCAACACCAGCUCCACCUGUUGUAACGCCACCAACACCAACACCACCGGUCGUAACGCCACCGACACCAACCCCUCCUGUCGUAACACCACCAACACCACCGGUCGUAACGCCACCGACACCAACCCCUCCUGUCGUAACACCACCAACACCACCGGUCGUAACGCCACCGACACCAACCCCUCCUGUCGUAACACCUCCAACACCACCGGUCGUAACGCCACCGACACCAACCCCUCCUGUCGUAAUACCUCCAACACCACCGGUCGUAACGCCACCGACACCAACCCCUCCUGUCGUAACACCACCAACACCAACUCCACCUAAGCCAGAAACAUGCCCAAUCGACACGUUGAAGCUAGGCGCUUGUGUAGACGUUCUUGGAGGUUUGAUUCACAUCGGGCUUGGUGGAAGUAGCGCCAAGAAAGAGAGUUGUCCGGUUUUGGGAGGCUUAG